AUACAGCAAUCAUUUUUUUUUUACAAAGAAAUAUUUACCCAAUGCACCAGGAAAGUAUUCAUGACGAAUACGUUGGUGCUAAGAUGAUUAUGAAACACAGAUUGUUCUUGUUCCUGUCAAAAAAGGUCAAUUGCAGCUAGGAAUAAUAUAUUUAGUGCAGUAGUCCCAGAUUACAUAAAUUGUCACACUUGCAUUGCAACUCAUGCAAUUAAUCUAUUCAUACAAUAUUCAACACACAGACGUGGUAUAAGAUUAUUUCAAAAUGAAAAUUCAUCUAAAUGAAUAAAACACACAAAACAACUACAUUUGGAAGAUGAUGAAAAUAACAUUUUUUCUUGUUCUUUUGUCUCUUGAACGCCAUUUUAGUCAACAUGUGGUAAUACAAAACGACGCCAUAAUUGGACCGGAAGUUAUAGAAGAUUAAAGAAGAGGAGCAAUAACGAUAUGAAUUAUUUUCCCAGAGGAACCUAGAACGUCAACAGAAGUACACAGCUAAUCGUUUUUAGACUAAAAAUCUAAAAUCGUAAGUUCGAUUGAUAUAUACAACACUAUCGUGAGAAGCAGAUACAACAUAUAUAUCUUCUUGGAUCAACAUAUUAUCUUCUAACAGCACUGUAUACGAUCAAAACAAGUAAAAAACGUUUUAUAAUUGGCCUGUUAUACAUUACUAAUUGGUCAAGUAAAUGAACUUCACUGAGAACAAUAAAAGUAAAAUCUCAUUGAUUGUUAUUAGGACUUUUGACUUUGUCAUCGCCAAUAUCUCUAACAGUAACCAAAAAGAGGUUAAUUUGUAUCCUUAUUAUUAUCCUUUGUAAUUUGAAAAGAAAUGGUAUUGUUAUAGAAAAGUAAACUAAGUUUCAAUAUUUUAUAAUCGACACCAAGAAUAUCUAAUGGUACUCUGGGAAACGUUGAAAUAUUCAGGACGUACUGUCGUGAUGAAACAAGGUAAGAUUUCGACAAACAUAGUGUACAUCAAAGUGGAUAAAUGUAAUGCAAAAAGUGAAUUGGUGUAGUGCAAAAAGUAAAUUGGUGUAGUGCAAAAAGUGAAUUGGUGUAGUGCAAAAAGUAAAUUGGUGUAGUGCAAAAAGUGAAUUGGUGUAGUGCAAAAAUCGACAUAGUAUGACUUAAAUUUUCUUUCAUUGCUUUCUGUAAAACUAAUUUGUUAAAACAUAUGAACCGUUUAGCCUUUCUUCAAAUAAAUUCACACCAAAUUCUUCUUGAAAGUAUUCCAAUCUGGAUUUGUGCAU